GACGUAGGGCGCGAGCGUUGUCCGGAUUUAUUGGGCGUAAAGAGCUCGUAGGCGGCUUGUUGCGUCGACUGUGAAAGCCCGUGGCUUAACCGCGUGGUCUGCAGUCGAUACGGGCAGGCUAGAGUUCGGUAGGGGAGACUGGAAUUCCUGGUGUAGCGGUGAAAUGCGCAGAUAUCAGGAGGAACACCGGUGGCGAAGGCGGGUCUCUGGGCAGUAACUGACGCUGAGGAGCGAAAGCGUGGGGAGCGAACAGG
rnacentral:rRNA from 1 species